rnacentral:rRNA from 1 species
UACGAAGGGGGCUAGCGUUGCUCGGAAUCACUGGGCGUAAAGGGUGCGUAGGCGGGGUCUUUUAAGUCAGGGGUGAAAUCCUGGAGCUCAACUCCAGAACUGCCUUUGAUACUGAGGAUCUUGAGUUCGGGAGAGGUGAGGUGGAACUGGCGAGUGUAGAGGUGAAAUUCGUAGAUAUUCGCAAGAACACCAGUGGCGAAGGCGGCUCACUGGCCCGAUACUGACGCUGAGGCACGAAAGCGUGGGGAGCAAACAGG